GACGAACGCUGGCGGCGUGCUUAACACAUGCGAGUCGAACGGAAAGGCCCUGCUUGCAGGGUCCUCGAGUGGCGAACGGGUGAGUAACACGUGGGUGAUCUGCCCUGCACUUCGGGAUAAGCCUGGGAAACUGGGUCUAAUACCGGAUAGGAGCCAUUUUUAGUGUGAUGGUUGGAAAGUUUUUUCGGUGUAGGAUGAGCUCGCGGCCUAUCAGCUUGUUGGUGGGGUAAUGGCCUACCAAGGCGGCGACGGGUAGCCGGCCUGAGAGGGUGGACGGCCACAUUGGGACUGAGGUGCGGCCCAGACGCCGACGGGUGGCAGCAGUGGGGAAUAUUGCACAAUGGGCGCAAGCCUGAUGCAGCGACGCCGCGGGUGGUAUGACGGCCUUCGUGUUGUAAACUUCUUUCGCUAGGGACGAAGCUUUUUGUGACGGUACCUAGAUAAGAAGCACCGGCUAACUACGUG
rnacentral:rRNA from 1 species